UGCUCGGGGUUGUAGGACCGCGAAAGUACCAAGGUGUAUAUAUAGCCGAACCCGGCUGGAAAGUUGGGCCGUAGAGGGUGAUAGCCCCGUAGGCGAAAUAUAUACAUCAGGGAAGCGGAAUCCUGAGUACCACGGGACACGAGGAAUCCUGUGGGAAGCAGGGGGGACCACCCUCCAAGGCUAAAUACUUCCUGAUGACCGAUAGUGGACGAGUACCGUGAGGGAAAGGUGAAAAGAACCCCUGUUAGGGGAGUGAAAGAGAACCUGAAACCGUGUGCUUACAAGCAAUCAGAGGUUCGAAGGAAUUCGGACUGAUGGUGUGCCUUUUGAUUAAUGAGCCGGCGAGUUACUGGCAGUGGCGAGGUUAAGGCCUUCAGGGCUGGAGCCGAAGGGAAACCGAGUCUUAACAGGGCGUAUAGUCGCUGUCAGCAGACCCGAAGCCAGGUGAUCUACCCAUGGUCAGGGUGAAGUCCCGGUAAAACGGGAUGGAGGCCCGAACCGGUGUAAGUUGCAAAUUGCUCGGAUGAACUGUGGGUAGGGGUGAAAGGCCAAUCAAACCUGGUGAUAGCUGGUUCUCCCCGAAAUGUAUUUAGGUACAGCCUCUGAGUAAUCUUAUGGGGGUAGGGCACUGAAUGGGCUAGGGCCCCGUAGGGGGUACCAAACCCAAUCAAACCGCGAAUACCAUAAGAUGGUCUCAGGGAGUGAGACUGCGGGUGCUAAGAUUCGUAGUCGAGAGGGAAACAGCCCAGACCGUCAGCUAAGGUCCCCAAGGGAUUGCUAAGUGGGAAAGGAUGUGGUGUUGCCCUGACAGCCAGGAGGUUGGCUUAGAAGCAGCCAUCCUUUAAAGAAAGCGUAAUAGCUCACUGGUCAAGCGACACUGCGCCGAAAAUUUAACGGGGCUUAAGCAAUCCACCGAAGCUACGGACUUAACGGCGGGGAUUAGGUUUUAGGGGUUAGUAGUUGGUGAAAGGCUGAAAAAGAAAGUCUUUACUAAUCCCCAAUCCCUGAUUCCUAACCCCCGUCGUUGAGUGGUAGGGGAGCACUCUGCUAACCUGUGAAGGUAUAUUGUGAAGUAUGCUGGAGGAGGCAGAGGAGAGUAUGUCGGCAUAAGUAGCGAAAAUACUGAUUAGAAGUCAGUACGCCGUAAACCUAAGGUUUCCUGGGGAAGGCAAAUCCGCCCAGGGUUAGUCGGGCCUAAGGCGAGGCCGAAAGGCGUAGUCGAUGGACAACAGGUUAAUAUUCCUGUACCACUGUGUAUGUUAUGAUCUCAGGGGUGACGCAGGAGGAUAGUGCAGGCUCCGUGACGGAAUACGGGGUCCAAGCGUUGAGGAGGUGGGGCAGGCAAAUCCGCUCCACAGAACUCCAGGGCGUAACGGGGAGUCCGCUUCAGGGCGAACCUGCAUGAUUUCACACUGACGAGAAAACCCUCGGAGGGAGUGUGCAUGGUGACCGUACCGCAAACCGACACAGGUAGGUAGGUAGAAGAUACCAAGGCGUUCGAGACAACCCUCGCUAAGGAACUCGGCAAAAUAGCCCCGUAACUUCGGGAGAAGGGGUCCCUGUUUUGCAGGGGGCACUAAAGAGGCCCAAGCGACUGUUUACCAAAAACAUAGGUGUCUGCUAACUCGAAAGAGGAUGUAUAGGCACUGACGCCUGCCCGGUGCCGGAAGGUUAAAGGGAGGUGUUAGCUCCUUCGGGGGCGAAGCUCUGAACUGAAGCCCCGGUAAACGGCGGCCGUAACUAUAACGGUCCUAAGGUAGCGAAAUUCCUUGUCGGGUAAGUUCCGACCUGCACGAAUGGCGUAACGACUUGGGCGCUGUCUCGGCGAGGGACUCGGCGAACUUGAGGUACCGGUGAAGACGCCGGUUACCCGCAGCAAGACGGAAAGACCCUGUGCACCUUUACUGUAGCUUGGCAUUGAGUUUUG
rnacentral:rRNA from 1 species